rnacentral:tRNA from 1 species
UCUAAUAUGGCAGAUUAGUGCAGUAGAUUUAAGCUUUACACAUAAAGGAAAAUCCUUUUAUUAGAU